rnacentral:rRNA from 1 species
AACGUAGGUGGCAAGCGUUAUCCGGAUUUACUGGGCGUAAAGCGUGUGCAGGCGGGAGAAAAAGUGGGGUAUGAAAUGGCUCGGCUCAACCGGGCGAGGUUAUGCCAGACUGUUCUUCUAGAGUGCGAGAGAGGGGCAUGGAAUUCCGGGUGUAGUGGUGAAAUGCGUAGAGAUCCGGAGGAACCCCAGAGGCGAAGGCGGUGCCCUGGCUCGCAACUGACGCUGAGGCGCGAAAGCUAGGGGAGCAAACAGG